AACGAACGCUGGCGGCAUGCCUAACACAUGCAAGUCGAACGAGACCUUCGGGUCUAGUGGCGCACGGGUGCGUAACGCGUGGGAAUCUGCCCUUGGGUUCGGGAAUAACAGUUAGAAAUGACUGCUAAUACCGGAUGAUGUCUUCGGACCAAAGAUUUAUCGCCCAAGGAUGAGCCCGCCGUAAGAUUAGCUAGUUGGUGAGGUAAUGGCUCACCAAGGCGACGAUCUUUAGCUGGUCUGAGAGGAUGAUCAGCCACACUGGGACUGAGACACGGCCCAGACUCCUACGGGAGGCAGCAGUGGGGAAUAUUGGACAAUGGGCGAAAGCCUGAUCCAGCAAUGCCGCGUGAGUGAUGAAGGCCUUAGGGUUGUAAAGCUCUUUUACCAGGGAUGAUAAUGACAGUACCUGGAGAAUAAGCUCCGGCUAACUCCGUGCCAGCAGCCGCGGU
rnacentral:rRNA from 1 species